CACAAACCUUGUGUGCUUGCCCACAACACAGAAUAUCUUCUCCGACGGCACUGGGACGUUAUGUUGGCAUUUUACUGUGGCAGGAUCAAGUAUCCCCCGCUCGGAAAUGGUGUUUCCUUUCUGUUAAGUUUUAUACAAACCUUGAAAACGACCAUGUGUUCUCCUUUGCGAGGAAUGAGUUCAAAUGAGACUCUGUACAAGGGGCAGGACGUGAAGUGGUUGCACACUUGGUUCAAGCGAGCGAAACGGUCGCAAACUUACAAAAUGGCGGAUAUUUUCUGAAAUCAUCGCGUGUUCGCUUGCUUUUUUAUCAGGUAAAAACGCAAGACUGCGACAGCGAUGGGAAUUCUCCUCUGGAAUGUGGUAUUUGCGAAAAGAAACCCCGUUCACGGUCUUUGAUUCAACGCAUUUGUCGUCACAUGAAACAACAAACUACCAGGAUA